CGCCUCCUCCCGCUGCGCCCGCCCCUCGGCCUCCGCCCCGGCGCCGCCGACCCUUGUCUGCUCCCGCCCUCUCCCGUGCGGGUCCGCCGCGGUCAGAUCGAGGCGGCAGCGAGGAGGCUGCACGGAGAGCCCGGCUGGGGAAGGCUGCAUGCUCCCGGCUCAGAGCGUCCCCGGCCAGGUGGUGCUUUUCUGAAGUUGUUCAUCGAGAUUUCUCAGCAUUGUUGCAGACAUAAAUAGGUAAGUAACAUCAAAGGUCCUCAUUGUUUGCUUCUGUUUGUUUUCUUUUUCAAGACAGUGUCUUGUAAUGGAGUCUUGAAACUCACAGCAGUCCUGCUGCCCCAGCCCUCUGUGUGCUAGGAUAACAGGUGGGGGACAUCAUUCCCAGCCUAUGCUCUUUUUGUUGGAAGUAUUCUCCAGGUGGGAAGCAGUUUUGAGAAAGGGGUAGCUUUUCACAUUUUGGGACCUUGCCUGCUAUCUUAGUUACUUUUCUAUUGCUGUGAUAAAACACCAUGACCAAAGUGACUUACAGUUUCAGAGGGGUAGAAUCGAUGAUGGUGCAGCAAAGACAUGGCAACAGCAACUGAGAGGUCACAUCCUUAGCUUCAAGCAAGAGGUAGAGAGAGACAAAUGGACCUGGCAUGAGUUUUUUAAACCUCAAAGCCCCAGUGAUACUCUUCCUCCAACAAGGCCACACCUCCUAAUCCUUCCCAAACAGUUCUACCAACUAGGGACCAAGCAUUCAAACAUAUGAGCAAUUGGGGGAGGGGGCAUUCUAAUCUAAACCACCACAUCUGUUGAACACUAGUUUUCCUAGGGGGCAGCAUCAUUAUCAUGAAGAAUUCAGUGGAGUUGAAUAAACAGGGUUGAAUUUAAUUAUUCUAAUUUUUUUCUCCAGUUCUGAUCUGCUUUGUUCUGUCCCUGAUCAGGAACAAGUUUCAGAGAUCUACAUUGUGGGACCAGGCUUCCCUUUUUAGCCUCUCUAUAGAGCAUUUCAACUUCUGUGUCAUUUCUCCCAGACGGGAAGUAAACGUGGCCAAUUUAAAUACCCCAGAUUUAUUACUUGAUGAUCACUCUUACAGAGGUACUGCUAGAAAGAAAGUUGGAAGUGAUUCAGUCACAGGUGAUUAAUUGAGUAGAUUUUAAUUUAUAAAGGUCACCUUUGGAAAACAUUAGCAGUAGAGGUUAAAUAUAAUCCCUAGCCAUAUGCAUUCAGGAAAAUCUAGGCGGUGGGUAGUUGAAUAACUCGCUAAAGAUUGAUCCAGCUUUGUUUCUCCAAUGGGAAAGGCUGUUCACCUCUGUUCUCUGGGGACCCUGUUAGUGUUAUAACUUUGGCAAUGAGCUUAGAUCUAAGGAACCAGGGCACCGUCCAGAUUUAGUCAGACUGAAGAUUGUCCAGUAGAGUCUGCUAUACUAGGAGGAUUUAAAUAGUGUGUUCCUACAAAUAUCAUCCCAUUUGUAGAAAAGUGGUUUAUAGGUCUUGAGAACAACCCCCCCCAUUCCAUUUUAGGAUAUUGACUUCUCAAGUGUUAUUAUGUUCUACCAGUAGGGCUGUUUGGGAGAUUUCCACACCGUUUAAUGAGAACUGCAAACACUCAUGAGUUGUGAAAUGAUUUGAGUGGCAGCAUUCUCAUGGGAAAACAAGAGCUAGGUGGUGUCCUGGGCAGAGGGAAUGUUUGCACCUUAUCAAACUGUUAAUCUUUACAUAUCUGUUCUGUAUUUAUUUAGUACAGAUGGGAGAAGCUGAUUUUUCUAUUAAUAAAAAUGAUUAAACCAGGCAUGUUAAUAGAUACUUGUAAUCAUGGGAGGUGGAGGCAGGAAAGAAGAGAAGUUCAAGGUUUAUCCUUGACUGCAAUGACUUGGAAGCUAGCCUGGGCUACUUGAGAUCCUGUCUCAAAAAUACCUACACAAUAUAUAUACAUAAAUAGGCAUAUUUUUGUGCAUACACACAUAUAUAACACCCUUUCCUGUAUGCUAAAGAGAUCUAUGGCACAGAAUUUCCUUCUUAAACCUUAGAAUGUGGUUAGUGAUGCCAGUCUGCCAUGCAUUGUUCAGAUCCAGAGUAUCAUGUCAGCCAGGUGAUAGGCACAGGGUGGGGGAUGGGCAGCGAGGCCUGUGUUCACUCAUAACAUUCUACAGGGAAAAUAUGCUCAACAGGAGGGAGUCUGUGCUGUGAGGAACCAGUAUGUCUUCACUCUGUUCAGCGGAACCAUCUGCUUGAGAGUUCCCAGGAAUGGGAGCCAGACCAUGCUGCGUACCACGCAAGGAAUCAUGUGAAAACCCUGGCUAAGGGCCCCGUAUGUUCUGCUGGAGGUUUGGUUUCCCCAUUGUGGGAUGUCACCCUGGAUCACUGCCGGGCUGGCCUGUUUAAUCCUGCUCUGGGGAAAAACCAGUUCCAUUUUGCAGUGCCUUGAGGAGCCAAGUCAUGUUUGCCCUUUUUGUCCUCCGCUCAACCAGCCUCCUCCGUGUCCUUCAUGUUAGUUUUAGUUGUGAAUUCAUCUGAGACCAGCAAUGCAAACAUGGUCAGACAAGAACAGGCAUUCGAAACUGAAUUGAAGAGAAAUGUGGUCCUUCUUCCUGUUUCCUAUGUUCAUGCUGCAUGGUAGCAGGUUUCUCUUGAGCAGAAAGAAUAACUGCAGUUUGAGGAGACUUUUGAGCAUCAUUUGUCCUCAACAUUUAUGCCCCUGCCCUGGAUACACAUGGGCUGGAGUCCCAGCUGAGGGGCCAGGUGGCUCUACCUAAGGCAGAUUUCAGAACCUCCUGAACUCCACCUCUGUAUUUGGGAAUGGUUUCUUCCUUGUCACUGGUUUGGGAGGUUGAUAGAAGUAAAUAGGGAGUCCCGUGUGUCGAGAUGGUCAACCAGUGUCUCCCACCUGGUUCCCUGACACCAGGUAUUGUGAGAGUUGCUUGGAGUGGAGUCUGAGAACUGAUUGUCCCAGCCCUCUCACUGAGGCUCUUUGGACAAAUGUCUCACUUACCAAACCUCCUUGGUAGGUGUCCUGCUGUGCUCUGCUCCUGCCCUAAGGGAAUUGUGGAAAGGCUUUAAAGAGGGCAAAUUCAAGUAUGUGGUUAACAUCAGAGAACUUCAAUUGGCAGCCCUUAAGGAAAAAAAAAGAAAGAAAGUCAGACUUUCUGGGCUUGAAUCCCUGUUUAUAAUUAGGUGUGUAGCCCUGAUGAAGUUCUUGAAACCUUGUCUAGUUCUCUGGUGUCUCAGGCUGUUAGGAAGGCAGCAAGGUAUUGUACAUUCGAGUGGGGUGUAGGGAACAGAUACCUAGUGAAUCUUAAGUACAAUGUUCCUAGCUCCAUCAUGGUGCUGGCAGGAGGAAGAGUCGUGACCAAAAAGUGUCCACAGUUUAAAGUCCCUUGCAGUACUGGGUUAUGCUUAUUUAGCUAGGUAGAUAAUCUGGAUAGAUGGAGAGUAAUCACACAGUGAACACUGUCUCUGGAGAUGCCACAGUGAGACUUGGUCUUCCUGGGUUUUCCUCCUGGCUUGGAACCAAGUGAACCAGUGAGUGAAGGUGCUCAGCCUGGCACAGACCCCAUGAUAUCAGCUGAGCCAUUGAAAAUGUCCAGUGCCACUGAGGCACUGAAUUUUUAAAUUUUAUUCCAUUUUCAUUAUUUUAAAAGUUGGCACUGAAGUUCUUAUUGGGAAAUCUUCUGGUUCCUCUAGGACAACUUGGGAAACUGGAUCUGGUUUCCCAACUAUAAAUUUUGUGAUGAAUGUUUCCUUAGCGGGAAGGGUGGCUUUUCCUUGUAUAUUUUUAGCUUACACUGCUGAUAUUCUAAAUUUGCCAUCACACAGUGUAGAACUCAUUUACAUAAUUAAUCGGGAAGUAGUUAAAGGGAGUAGAGAAGUGUUUGUUUAGUAAGUGAGGGUACGGCAACUUUCUUCCUUUACUAGGUGUGAAUUGAACCAAAUAUAUUAUUUCUGGAAUAAUGAUAGUCACCUUCAUGGUUUGAAAAAGACCAUCAGAAUCAUGAGAUACAUAGAUGGUUUUAAGUUCUGAUUUCUCCUUUUAUUUCUUUUCAUUCUUACUAUUUUAUAUGUAAAGGGUUUUUUUUUUUUUUUGACUGCCUGUAGAUCUGUGUACCAUGUAUGUGCCCAGUACCCAGGGGCCCUAGAACUGGAGUUACACACAUUUUUGAGCACCAUGUGAAUGCUGGGGGUCACAUGGGUCCUCUGAAAAGAAGCCAGUGCUUUUAACUGCUGAGCCAUCUUUCCAGUGCCCUGCCCCCCUCCACUUUUGUUAAGUUUGAGUUAACAACUUGAUUUUCUUUUGAUACGGACCUCUGGCUACAAAAGCCUCCUAGGGAUGUUCCCCUUCUUUCCAUGAAAAGUAACCUUCUUUGACAAGCUAUAACUUUGAAGAGGAAGGUCUGAAUCUUUUCCCGUGGUUCUCAACCUCCCUAAUGCUUCAACCCUUUAGUACAGUUCCUCAUGCUGUGGGGACACCCAACCAUAAAAAUUACCUCAUUUCUACUUCAUAACUGUGAUUUUGCUACUGUUAUGAAUCAUAACGAAAAUUUCUGAUAUGCAGGGAAUCUGAUAUAUAACCCCUGUGAGGGGGCAACUCAUGGGUUGAAAAAAGGCUGUUUGAGGAUAUCCUCAGUGAUGGUGCAAAGUAGAUGCCUGAUGAAUGCCAGCUGAAUGAAUGAGGGGUGUGGUAGGGUACCCAACAUCACUGCCUGAUUCAUAACACGUGCUCAGGGAAUGCUGGGAACUGGAGGGGUGAAUGUGGACUUAAUGUAAGUCCCAGUUCAUAAAGGAGUUUGCUUUGUUCUGCAUUGUAUUGUGGUACUAGAGAAUCAAAUCCAGAUACCGAAGGACCUCUCUUACCCUGUCCUAUAAGAUGAGUUUGAGAAUGACCCACUUAAAACUUGGGAAGCCGUAAAGGGUCUCUCAAUCAGAGAAAGAAGUUUAACACCAGCCGUCUAUCUGAAAACCACAAUGUCUUUGUGUGGAUAAAGUGCACGUGGGAGAGUAUCCCUUGCUGGAGCCAAAUCCAGA
rnacentral:lncRNA from 1 species